UCUCUCCCUUUCACGGUGAUUCCGACCAUUCUCGAGCUCCUAUCACCGGCGAAUCCUCUUCUCACCCUCAUAUCUCUUCCCCAAACCCCAAAUCAUGUCUGAGGAUGUACCCCGCCCCGCAGCCCGUCUUCGACGUAGUUUGGUGAGCAGUUCCCGUGCAUAGGGAUCGUCUCAUGAACAAAACUCGGUUCCCGCAUAUAUCCCCGCUCCAGAAGAAGUUCAGCGCCGAGAUAAUGCAGAAGCUAGAUCGUUUGAUGUCUUCGAGUUCUUAGUUUUUUCUGCUUUUUAAAACUUUCUGAAUGUUUUUUUUCUAUUUCGGUUUGUAUGAAUUUUUAACUUUCUGAAUGUUUUUUUUUCUAUUUCGGUUUGUAUGAAUUUAAAUUCUAUAAUAUUAUUAGUUUUAAAUUUCAGAUUUUAUUUAUUUAUUAAUUAAUUUUUAAUAUAAAAAAUAUAUAAAAAUGCAAAAUUAAUUCGUAUUUAAAAUUGAUAUAUUCCGACGAAUUGAGGGCGUCGGAAUAUACCGACGAACGAAGUCGUCGGAAAAUACCGACGGAGAAGGUUCCUCGGAAAAUUCCGACGAACCAUAGUCCGUCGGUAUUUUCCGAGGACUCGGUUCGUCGGUAUAGUCCGAGGAACGUGCUCCUUCGGUAUAUAGUUUUUCCGAUGAACUCUGGUCUCGUGUGUCCGCAUCGGAAUAUCGUCGGAAGUUCGUCAGAAUGACGUUUCUCGGUAUUCGUCAGAAAGUCGUCGGAAGGUCUGACGAAAUUCCGACGAAUCUUUUUUUUCCGACGAAAUUAUACCGACGGAUUGGUUCGUCAGAAAUUCGUCAGGAUCGGUCUAUUCCGACGAAUUUCUGACGAUUUCGGCCAUCAGAAUCCCCCUGUUUUCUUGUAGUGCAUCGAUAUCCUGUUUUAAGAUUGCAUAAGUCAAAAUCAUUAAUAGCUUCGUAUUUUUGGCAAUUUUGAAAUGCAAAUAGAAUGUUUUCAUGAAUAUAAAUAAAUAAUAUAUUUACUUAAUUUAUGUUACGUAAAAUUUUAUGUUACAUUAAAUUGUAUGUUACAUAGCUUACGAUACCUCAUUGAAUAAUUAUUAGUAAGACUUUUUGUAGAACUUUUAGUAAAAAGAUUGUUGUGCAUGUUUGAUAACAAAAAAUUAUUGUGCGUGUAUGACUAGAAUCUCAAUACACAUGGGUUUCUAACUAUUGGGUUUAGCUAUGACACUAAGCCUCUGCCAACAUAAACUUAUUUAAUUUUAAGAACAAACUCAACGAAUCGUAUAUAAUCUGAUCUACUAAAUCUUUUAAUCAACCCAAACAUUUUGACUUAACAUGUCUGGACUGUCUUCUAAAGUAUAUGUUGUCCGUUUCCUUAGGGUAUUAGAAACCAUCAUUUUCAGAGUUUCGAUGUCGGCUUGUGAAGAUCGACCACGUAAGUCGUCAAUUGCAUGUUGUCCAUUUAUAUAUUUUUAAACAAAAUCAUAAUAUUAUAGGUAUGAACGAAUUGUAAGGAAGAAUCUAUGCAAUGAUCCAGACUAGUUAGGAUAGAUUUUGAAUUAGUUUUCAAAUAUAUGGAUACGGUAAAGUAUUAAUAACCCAUCUAUUCUCUAUAAGAAACUAGAAAUUAACUCAUAGGUGAGAAUUUUAUAGUUUUCUGGGUACUUAAUUAAAACUAGAUUUUGAUCCGCGUUUAAAAAGCGCGGGUUUGUUUUUAUUUGUUUUCAAAAUUAAAUAAUUUUUUAAUAUGAAUUUCUAUAUAAAAUCGUGUAAAAUUCUAAACACAUUUAUGUGGAAUUGUGAACCGAACCAUAUCAAACUGAAACACACACAAAACCCAAAAUGAAAUGAAUUUUAUAAAUAACCGUAUUGAUUAUAUAUAUGGGGAGCCGAAUAACUGAAACCGAAUAGAAAAUCAAAUGGAUGCCUGAAUUUUAAAGUACAAAUUAUAUACCUACAAAUAAUAAAUUAUAUUUAAUUUCUAAAUAACCAAAUAUCCUAAAAUUACAAUUUAUAAACCAAAUUACCUGUAAAGCUUAAUAACCCAAAAUUUUAUUCAUAAUAUUUCAAAAUUAUCCAGAUUAUCUGAUAUUUUUAUUCGAACAAACCGAAUUACCCGAUAUUUAAACUGAAAACUCUAAAUUAUCUAGCAAUUUUUAUCUACAAACCUGAAAUUACUUGAAAAACAAAAUUAAGCCGGAACAGAAUUGGGCCCAUUUUUGAGAUAUUAGCCGGAUUCAAACUAUGUUACCGAACCAAAGCAAAACCUUAAUAACCCAACUAAAACCAAACUGAACUUUGUAAAUACAUGAACAGUUCCAAAAUUUCUAAAACCAAACAUUAAAAACCAACUGAUAUGUUUCCACCAAAUUUAGAUUUAAUGAAAACCUAUAAAUUAAAAAUCAGAUAAAAUUCAAAAACUCCCAUCAACAUAUGAACCGACACAUGUUGUCCAGAUUAAAGCCCAUAAAAACAUUAAAACACUUUUUAAAUGGACUAAACUUCUCAUGUAUUUUAUAAUAAUACAUAAAACUAAAUAAAAUAUUCGAUUUGUUCAGGUAAAAACUCAGAAAAAUCUGAUAACACCUUUUAAAAAAAUUAUUAAACUUUUUAUAUAUUUUAUAAUAAUACAUAAAACUAAAUAAACUAUUUGAUUUGUCUUAUGAAGUACAUGUAUAUGAAAUCAGAUUAUAGUUUAGAAAUAUAUGAAAUAGGGUUUAGGAUAUAUAGCUUAAAAGUUUAUGGAAAUUUGGUUUAGGGUAUAGGGUUUGAUUUAUACAGAAAAUAUGAUAAAAAAUCUCUAGAAAAUAUGUAUUUGAACAAAUAAAUAGAUUCAAGAAAAUACAUGAAAAUGGUAAGAGUCAAACGAGUAAAUAAUAUAUGGUUUAUGGUAUAAGGAUUUGGUUUGUAUUUGGUAAUAUGCAUACUACCAUUGAACAUAUUUUGUAAGUUCAUACGCACAUUUUUUUUUAAAAUAGCCUACCAACUAAUUUCAUCACGACGGGUAGUAUUUUGAUUUUAUAUAUGUUUGGUUAUAUAAGGUCGAAAAUAUGUAUAUUCCAUAUUAUUCAUUUGUUUUAACUUUUUCCUCACGUAAUGAAGUGAAUAUUAAUGCACUUAAAAUAUUACGAUGUGUAAAAUGAUAUGUUAGAUGCAAAAAUAUCGGAUGAUGGCAGUUGGAGUUUCCAUUUUAACAAUAUUGAUAAUUUUGAUUAACUAAGGUAAAUAUAAAAUAAGACAUAUUAAGAUCCUAUUGAAUAGGUCCAACAACUUUGUUUAAGUAGAUUUUUUCAGAAUGUUUCUUUUUUAAUAGUAUAGACGAGAGAAUUGUCUAGUUUUUUUUGUUUUUUUUUCUUAUGGGAAAAGACUGUUGCUUAAUAUAUAUCCUUUGAAUAUAUUUCGGGUAAAACUGGUUAAUCUAUUUCGGGUAAAAUUGGUUAAUCUAUUUGACGGGGAUUGCAAGGGCUAUAAGAAGUGCAAAUAUUAACUGGUGUGUCAUUUCAGAAGGCUAUGAAUCAAUGUAUGAAUGUGAGGUGGCUUGGCUUUUUUCAUCGCUAAAUUGGACUAGACAAUUCUUUAUGUAUUAUCAGAAAUUACCUCGAAAUAUGAACUUCUCUCUUUUUGGAUGACUAGAAAUUAAAUUCGGAAUCCAAAAGCUUGUACAUCUUCUAAUGGCGAAAUUCAGAUCAUGUUAAACUAUAACUAUAUUCAGAAGAACAGACAUUUUCUAGCAAAAUUGAAUUCAUAACCUUUUAAUUUUUUACUAAGUGAUCUAAAAAUGUUAUCCACUAUAUCAACUCUUUAUUGUAUGUAAUGCCCUUUCCGAAAGAAAAAAAAAACUCGGUUGCCGAAUAAGAGAUUUUGUCACUAAAAGCAUUUCUAAUGGAAAUUUUUAAUUUAGGAGUUCUAAAAAUACAUAUAUGUGUAUAUAUAUACAUUGUUAUGUGUAUAAUUGCGAGGUUCUAAACUUUACGGAAAACUCAAUCUAAAAUAUUUUUGUGGAGUAUUUUGGGUUAUGUUUUUCGUAAAGUUUAAAACUCUGCAAUUAUGUACAUAUAUAUGUUUUUAGUACUCUUAAGCUAAAACUUCGAUGCUCUAGAGCUUUUCCAACGUUCGUAUUCGAACACCUAAACAUUCUUAAAACUUCGAAACCAUUCCAUCACUCAUUGCACACCGAGCGAUUGACAUUUUACAAUCCUCUUUGAUUGCACUACCCACUAAUCUAUUGACGUGGAAGCAUGCACACAUGUACGGUAGAGAUCAGAACACCUUGCCUUCUCCAGAUAUGGAAAGCGACGAUCUUGGACAGGACAUGCUUCGCACAUUACGACAGAACAAAUUACUCAAAAGGUGUUAGGUAUGUUAUGGGCCCACCUUAAAAGCAAUAUUUUAUCGUAUUGCUACUCUGUGGUCCCAAUUUCUAAUUAGGUCUCUGCCACAUGUCGAUGGUAGAACGAAUAUCACAACAAUGAUUUCAAAGGUAAGAAAUCUGCCAAUUCGAAUUCGCUCAAUACUAUAAUGGGCGGUGUAUUAUUUAAUUGUAUUUUAACAUUUAGUUACUAAGUGUACUUUUUAUGUGAAUUACAAAUUAUUGUCGAUUGAGUCAUUUUAUAAUUAUUAUGAAGAGGCAUUUUGUACGGGACCAUACGCUCUUGAUAUGUAUCAUACGUGAUAGAAUUUUGAACGUGGCAUGAUAUUAGAGGGGGUUCAUAGUUGGCUAUAUAUAUUUGCAGUUACGAGCUUGAUGAUUGUAAGUCAACUAUCAUUUGAAUUUGUUCACAUUAUGGAGAUAGUAAAAAUUCAUAUUUAUAUUAUACACGUAAAAACUCGUUAGGGUUUGACUACUUAUUAAGUGAGUUGACGUACUUUGAGUAGCCUAUGGUUUGUAUAGCAAAUAUGUUUCGAGGUAGACUGCUUAUAUACCCCCUUUACACAUAUGAUGAUAAUUUUGGCUCAAUAAUAAUAGAUCAAGUCUAUCUCUUUUAUACUUUCUAGAAAAAGAAAAGUGGAUAUAUGUUUUGGUUGUGGUUGGGCUCUGCUACUAGUACUACUACUCUAUAUUCAAAACGUUUAUACAUUUCUAUUUAGUAAUUACGAGUUAUAUAAUCAUUAAAUAUUAUUUACAGUGACUAAUCUUACUGUAUAUAUACAUAUAUUUAUUCUCAUUUCAUAAAAUAUUAACACAUACUAAAAAUGAUCAAAGUAUAUACACAUGCAUUAGUAAACACCAUGUAUAGUAUUAAUCUAACACAUCUCCGUUCAUAAAGUAUGAUUUUAAUUUUUUUUAACACAUAUUAUAAAAAAACAUCAAACAUAUCCUUUUAAUUCAUAUAUCAUUUUAAGAGCUGCACCAUUAAAACUAAAAUUAUUAUUAUAUUAUAUAU